GGUACGCGAGCUGGGUUCAGAACGUCGUGAGACAGUUCGGUCCCUAUCCGUCGUGGGCGUAGGAAAUUUGAGAGGAGCUGUCCUUAGUACGAGAGGACCGGGAUGGACGCACCGCUGGUGUACCAGUUGUUCUGCCAAGGGCAUAGCUGGGUAGCUAUGUGCGGAAGGGAUAAGUGCUGAAAGCAUCUAAGCAUGAAGCCCCCCUCAAGAUGAGAUUUCCCAUAGCGUAAGCUAGUAAGAUCCCUGAAAGAUGAUCAGGUUGAUAGGUUCGAGGUGGAAGCAUGGUGACAUGUGGAGCUGACGAAUACUAAUAGAUCGAGGACUUAACCAUAUAA
rnacentral:rRNA from 1 species